CCCUGGGCCAGGAAUGGAACCUGUGCCACAGAAGCAACCCAAGCCAAUGCUGGUGACGAUGCUGGUUCCUUAACCCACUGAGUCACUGGGGAAACUCCUCAUUGGUCUUUCUUAAGGGACCAGUUCUAGCAAUUAGAUGAGGCUGGCCAUUACCAGUGGUCUAGGACUGUUGUAUUCUUAUUAUCUAGUGCAAGAAGCUAAGCAAUAAUAGGACUCAAGUCUAUCUGCUAAGAAGGGGAAGAGGUAACUCUGCUUUUACUCCUUUUUCAUUCCAGCAAGUCUAUGAAGUAGAUGCUGUUAGUAUCCCCACUUCAUGGUUUGGGAAAUGGAGGAUCAGAGAGGUUGGGUGACUUGCCCCAGGUCACAGCUAGUGGUGGAGCUGGGAUUCAAACCCAGGUCUGCGAGGCUCCACAGCAGGUAUUCUCAACUACAAGAGUGUGCUACCACCUCUCACAUUCAUAGGAAGGCCAGCUGAGUUCCCACAGGACCACUGCUUUACAACUGGACCUAUCACUUUCCUGGUCCUAUCACCCCUGGCUGGAGCUUUGCUCUGGGGGUUCCUUCUGGCAUCUUGGUGGAAGCAAGGGGGGUUGAUAACUGGCAUUGUCUUGAAGGAGGAGGCUUUCCAGGCAGGCAGAAAGUUGAAAUGACUGCUGACUCAGCUAUCUGGAUGUCCUUACCUGAGGAGACAGGUAAAUAGACAGCAGUCAUGGAACCAUGAUUAAUGUUCAUAGAGUAGAUCUUACAUCCUCAAGAAAACAAUUUUGGCAACUUUUGUGUGGUGAGUACAUGCCUCCUGUGUGCUGGCUUCCUGCAUACAUGGUGUCUGCCACAACUGCCCUAGGUCUGCAGGGUCGUCCUCCAGUACAGAGUAGGAUACCUAGCAGAGAAAGAAAGUGACCUGCCAAGGUCAGAGAACAAGGUGGUGGAGGGGCUGUGGCACACACUUAGGCCUCCUGCACUUCCCAAUAUUUCACAAUGGCCCUCAGAAAAAAAUACUUCAGUGAUGCUUCAUCUCUUUAUUCAGGAGGAGAAAGCUGUGCUUAGUACAUUUUAGAAAGCUUCUAUGCCAAUGAGUUUAAAUUGGGGUGUUGGGGCUUAGGGGGAGAACUAUCAGUUGAGUGAAAGUUCAUUUCCAGUGGUCAGUGUUGGCAGAUGAAUGAGGCAUUAUUUGGCCUUAAAGAGGCCCCUGUAAGUGGGCACACCUGGGCCCUGGUGGAUGUGAAGCUUGCUUUGCUGGGGGGCAGCUGCAUCCUGGCUGGUUCCUCUGAAGUCAGGCUGCAUGAGAACACAUAGGCCCUGGCAGCAUCCUGGCACCACCCAAAGCAGCAAACACCAGCAGCAAGGACACAUGCCAGGAAAGUUUCUGCAACCUCUUCCUCGGCCCUGAGCUAGGCGCCUGCCAUGGACAGAAGACUGCAGGAGCCCACAGCAGACCUAGACAGACUGUUUCUUCCACAGAAUUAUCUCACUAAAUAACUCUCGCUAAAGCCUAACAAGACUUGUCAUCAAGCCCAUUUUCCGGAGGGAGAAACCGAGACUCCAAGAACUACAGAACCUAUUUCUGUGUCUCAAUACGUAGGCCGGCUCUCCGACUUGACGGAAUCGCUCUGGCAACAGCGCCCUCUAAAGGCGGAGGCGAGUAUGCCUGCGUAACAGUCGUGCCCCGUCCUUUGGCGCUGGAAAUGGCGGAGGGCUCCCUCUGGCUUCUGAGGAUUGUCCAGCGCCCCUCCGAGGUCCUGGAGAAGCCAGGAGCGCUGCCUACAACUCGGCCUUGACUUCCCCGCAGCCUUGGUCGCCGCAGCAUUGGGUCAGAGGCAUCCCUGGAGAUUGCAGAAAGUUAGCGGCGGCCCCUGUUGACGCAGCGAGUGACGGCCCGACAUACCCUGAUAGGCCACGGGGAGGGCCAGACGCAGAGCCUUGAAAGAAGGAGCUUGCGCUCUGGAAGGGGCGUGGCCAGCGCUCUUCCUCGAGGGCGGGGCUCUAGGGGAAGGGGCUCUUCUCUGGGAUAUUGUGCCACAAGCGAGGACACCCGUGCACCUAGCCCAGGGCCUGUGUCCUGGCGUCAGCGCAUCUGUGGGCAGCAACUUUACCCUCCCCAGACCUCAGUUUCUGCACCUGUAAGACGGAGGCUCUUCCACAACUGCAAAAAUCGGAGUUUCAUCCAGCAUUCUCAGAAUUCCUGUCUCCAGGCAGGCACUGAGGAAUCAGAGCUGCGUUCCUGUGGAGGCUCAGAGCUCUGAGAUCUCCUUCACUUGCUGCAUCAGUACUCCUGACACUGGAGAGUUCUGGAGGUUGGAGACCAGCCCCUUCCUGGUGGAACAGGCACCCUGUAGCCUGGGAUGUGACAGUCAUAUGACAGGGCCUGUAACAAGUAACAGUGGUAGCCCAAAUAUGUCGAGCACUUACUAUAUGCCUGGCUUUUCAUGAAGUCUGUCGCAUACGUUAUUUACACCCCCACCCGCACAGCCGUGUCUGGUGGUCCUGUUCUUGACAUCCUGUUUACUGAUGAGCCCAGAGUCACACAAUAGUAGCCAGUCCAAGGUCACCCAGCUAAUAAAUGGCUGAAGCAGUAGUCCACAGUCUCAUCCACUGUUCCGUACCAAAAAAAAAAUGUUUAACCUGGAAGGGAGAUGGCAGAGGGGGAAAAUUACAAGAUCCUACCAGUGUUAAUCUAUACCACGAGUUGAGCCCUUAGUAUGUGUUGGAAGCUGGCCUACAGAUCAGCACCAUUUAUACUCCUGACAGUGACCUUAUACUAUAGGGUUGUUAUUUCCACUUCUGAGAGGUCAUCUCAUAUGUCUCUGGUCACACUGCUAGUACAAAACUGGAACUUUGAGUUUAAUGGAUGGUACACUCAGCCUGCCUGUAUAUCACUCUUAGGAAGACCCCACUCUUCUCUGAGCCUGUUUCCCGUUCUGCACAAUGAGAGGUUUGGACCAGAAGGCUCUGGACAUUGUUUCCUGAGCUCACAUUCUUUGAUUUUAGGAGCAUUGACAUGAUGUCCAGAGUCCUGGGUUUGUUCCUAAUUAUCUAUGACUUGGGAACGCCUCGGCCUAAUCCCUUGCAUCUCUGGGCCUCAGUUUCCCCCUUUGUAAAAUGUGGAGAUGAGAAAGUCUCAAUCACCAAGGGACCUUCUGGCUUUAAUAUUUUAUGACUGCAAAUGAAGAGACAAGCUGAGGUUCAGCAAAUUGUGCAUCCUCUGAGAAAUUCUAAUGAAUGUGAUUCUGCCACCUUGCUCAAAACAUUCCUGGUGCAAGGCUUCCAAGGACAGAUGCCCAUGUAGGUCAAGGGGAACAGCCACCUCCAGAUAAUCAGCAUUAACUGCUGGAGGAGGCUCACUCUCCUGAUGGUCCAAAAUCCACCCCUGUGGUCAGACCAGCUUAAGACUGAAUGCCAGCACUUCCCCCUGGGCACCUCAGAGAAGUGACCCUUUCUGUGCCUUAGUUUCUACAUCUGUAAAAUAGGGUGCUAACAGGACCAGCUUCAUUUGAGAUUUGAUGGAAAAACAUGUGCAAAAAGCCUAACAUGGACAUUCCCUGGUGGCUCAGUGGGUUAAGGACCUGGCAUUGUCACUGUCGUGGCACAGGUUUGAUUCCUGGCCCAGGAACUUCCUCAUGCCAAGGGUACAACCCCAAAAAAAAGCCUAACAUGCUACUUCUGGCUUAGGAAAACCCCCAAUAAAUACAACUGU
rnacentral:lncRNA from 1 species